ensembl:lncRNA
CCUGGAACAUCCAUCUCAACUUUUCCACAGUGCUCAGGAAUGGAUGGAAAAGACGGCAAAGUCUUCCUAGCCACUAUUCAUGGAUAGUAGGUGAGUGUCACAAAGCCGCUGUCCUGCUGCCCACCUGGCAGCUCCACAGAGCUGUGUAUCCCUGAGCUGAGAUGGUUGUGCACACAGCUGCCUUGCCUCUUGUAGGCACUCUGUCCAAGAGCUGGAGAACCCUGAAAGGGGGAGGGAGAAUGCACUGGAGGGCUGGAGACCCGCCUGGUGCUUCUGCCUGCCCGUGUAGGUGGCUGAGGAGGGACUACGUCAGAGGGCUGGCUCCUGAACUUCUGACCCGCUGGGUGUUCACAGAUGGCUCUCUGCAAGGGCAGGAAGGGCCUCACGCUGGUCCCUUGCCAGGGUGCUGCUACACACAGAGCCUGGACUGUUCCCUCCCAAGCUUCUUCCCUGGGGACCUGGGAGAGGCCAUGUGGCUGACAGAGCAGACCCUUCUAGCUGAGCUGCUUUGGGAUGUUCCUGCCACAUGUCUACAGGCAGAGACCUGGGACCUCUGCCUACUCAGAAGGGGCCCUGUGGUCACACUCCGCCCCGUGGCCUCAGAUGUUGGACAGCUGACUUUUCUAUUCCUUUGGAGAAAAGGUGGGAAAAUGAGCAGAAGGAGGCAAAAAUAUGAAAAUAUUCCCACAGCCCUAUGACUGCCUGCAGAGAGCCCCUGCUGCCUCUGGCUGGUAGAGCUGGGUUUUGAGUCUCACCAUACAAAGUGCAGAGCAAGCCUUCAUGGCUAUGCUUGCACCAGGGACAUCUGUGGUUGUAGGGGCUCCUCUUUCUAGCACCUGUCUUUCCAAAGGAAACAAGGUCUGUGUUGGCAUCUUGGUGGUGCUGGGGUUGUGUAGGUUAUUGUUGUUUGUUAUGGUUUUUGUAGUAGCACGCACGGGUCCUCAGAUUCGUACAGGUUCCCUUUCCACUGGUCUACUCUGUUCUCAGACUCCAGACUUUAAGGGAGGUGGGCGGGAAACAACAAUAAAAAGUGCCAAGCAAUUCCCUCCAAUCCUAUCUGUUUGGGCGAUGAGGCUGGAGAAUUAUAAGCCCAGAAGUUUGGGACUAACCUGAGCAACAUAACCAGACAUGAUUACAAAAGACAACAAAAACCUAAGACAAAAACCACAAAAGGACAUUUUCCUUCAACGGCACUGACAGGCAGGCUGGUCUGUAGCUGUGGGAUUCCCACUAGAAACUGAUACUGAAAGGGACCAGCUAUGCUGUGUGUCCAUGCCAGCAACCUGUCUCUCCAACUCUCAACCCUCCUCCCGCUGAGCUUGGCGCACCGUGGGGCCUUGGCUUCACAGGUUUGGCCUGUUGGUGACUGUCCCCGAUCUCCGCCCUUUUGGAGUCUCAUUUGAGAAACCCUGGCCCGCUGAUGACCAUCCCCAUAGGUCUUGUCUAUGUGGUUGGCUGAGUUUGACAACACGAUGGAACUUCAUGGGAUCUCCCCCAAAAGGAAUUCAAGGUUUGACCCCCCUCUGCUCUCUUCAGACCUAGCUUCACUCAGCCCAUCUUUCCCACCUAAGGAUUGUCUCACACUCUCACCCCUGUCACCUCUGUUGGCGGUGGUUCCUCUGAACUAUCUCCUACAGUCAGAUGACAAGAAACUCCCAUGUGUGGGGAGAGAAUCAGAGACAGGGUUGGGGGGUGUGUGGUGGAAUAUUAGUUGAAGAUACAUUUGUUUAUGCUGUGGAACAUUUGGUUUUUGGUUUUUUGUUUUUUGUUUUCUUUUUGAGACAAGAUUUCUCUAUGUAUCCUGGAACUCACUCUGUAGACCAGGCUGGCCUCGAAUAUUCAGAGAUCCACCUGUCUCUGCCUCCUAAGUACUGGGAUUAAAGGGGUGUGCCAUCACGCUCCGCUGAAAUAUGUUUUAAAGAACCUGCUUGUAAAAAACACCUAGGGCUCACCGGUAGGCUCUUUGUAGCAUGGACCUACACAGCACUAUACAAACAAAGCUUCCAAAUCCCUCCCCACCAGACCACACCAGAAAGUGGCCUGGGGUAUAUAGAGAAAUACAGGUCUACAGGUGGUGGCUUUGUGGAUAAAAGCACUUGCCAUACAAACCUGAUGGCCAAGGUCCUUUUCCCUUCCAGAACUGAGGCAGGCUUUCUUGGGCUGCCACCAGCCCCCAGAUCAUGACAGGGAGACUUAUUAUUAAUUGUGAAUGUAUGUGUGCCCUUAUCUUAUGUUUGUCCCUCUAGCUCUUAAAACUUAAAUUAACCUGUUUCUCUUCAUCUACAUUUUGCCUGGGGGCCUUUUACCUUUCUUUUGUUCUGUAUGUCCCCACUUUCCUGCUUUCUCCGUGUCUAGCUGGCUCCUGGGCAUCUCCCCCUCUCUCUCCUCCUACUUGCUCUUUCUAAACCCCCCCCUCCCCCGCCUUUCCCUCUACUGCCUAGCCAUUGGCCAUUCAGCUUUUUAUUACACCAAUCAGGUGCCUUAGGCAGGCAAGGUGAAAUAAAUGCAACACAUCUUUACAUAGUUAAAGUGACAUUCCACAUCGCAGAACCAAUGUCAAGGUGGAGGAAGAGAGCAGACUAUAAAGUUGUCUUCUGACCUCCACAUGCACAGAGUGGCACGUGUGUGCCCCCCUCCCCACUACACACACACACACACACACACACACACACACACACACACACUAAUACAUAAAAUAAAUAUUUUUAAAGUGUGCAAUGCUUUAAAAUAAUAUCCUUGGGUGUGGCAGGUAAAAGCAAAGUACAGUGGGGUAGAGGGAUGAAAAUGCCGCAACGCACACUAAAAAAAAUUAAUAAAAACAAAAUCAAUAAUAAUCCUAAGAGAUUUCUAAUCUAAUCUGAUUUCUAAUCUUAGACUGGUGCAACACUCAGUCCACGCUCUGAGUUUUGGUGGAGGUUGGGUGUAACCACAAAUUGGAUUUGUGUUUGUCUUGAUUUUUCACAGGCACUAUAGCCAUAGCCUUCAUCGAUGGCGGUUUUCUUUGCAACCAUUUAUGCUCAGCAGGUCAUCUGGUCCAGCUGGGAGAAGCAGGCUACUUCCUGGUCUGCUUCCCUCUUUCUCUGUGCGGCUUGCGAGACAGGGUGCUGGGCACAC